CCCUUAGAUGUCCUGGGCCGCACGCGCGUUACACUGAUGCAUUCAACGAGCUUAUAACCUUGGCCGAGAGGCCUGGGCAAUCUUGUUAACGUGCAUCGUGAUAGGGAUAGAUUAUUGAAAUUAUUAAUCUUGAACGAGGAAUUCCUAGUAAACGCGAGUCAUCAGCUCGCAUUGAUUACGUCCCUGCCCUUUGUACACACCGCCCGUCGCACCUACCGAUUGAAUGUUUCGGUGAAGAUUCCGGAUAGGACUUUUUUGAUUUAUUUCAAUUUUGUCUUAAAAGCUAUCUAAACCUCAACAUUUAGAGGAAGGUGAAGUCGUAACA
rnacentral:rRNA from 1 species